AUUGAACGCUGGCGGCAUGCCUUACACAUGCAAGUCGAACGGUAACAGGUUAAGCUGCCGAGUGGCGAACGGGUGAGUAAUGUAUCGGAACGUGCCCAGUCGUGGGGGAUAACUGCUCGAAAGGGCAGCUAAUACCGCAUACGACCUGAGGGUGAAAGCGGGGGAUCGCAAGACCUCGCGCGAUUGGAGCGGCCGAUAUCAGAUUAGGUAGUUGGUGAGGUAAAGGCUCACCAAGCCGACGAUCUGUAGCUGGUCUGAGAGGACGACCAGCCACACUGGGACUGAGACACGGCCCAGACUCCUACGGGAGGCAGCAGUGGGGAAUUUUGGACAAUGGGCGCAAGCCUGAUCCAGCCAUGCCGCGUGCGGGAAGAAGGCCUUCGGGUUGUAAACCGCUUUUGUCAGGGAAGAAAAGGUUCUGGCUAAUACCUGGGACUCAUGACGGUACCUGAAGAAUAAGCACCGGCUAACUACGUG
rnacentral:rRNA from 1 species